AAAGCACACCCUCGGUGAUAAUUGUUUUGGUGGCAAUGGAUUUGUUGCCCCAGUGAACUAUUCAAACUUUUUAUAUGCGGGGAGUGGAUAUGGAUCUCAAAAAUUUUCUGGAAUUUUGACACAUGCUGUAAAAGCUGCUCUUGAAGAUAUAUUGCUUCAUAUGCAAAGAAUGAAUGGAAAUUUCAAUGGGGUGGAUUUGGGCUUCACCACUGGAAGUUUUAGGAGUAGCAGAAUUCUGUCUCAAAAUCCCUGUGAGAUAUUGUUGCAGUCUCUUAGAGAAUUUAUUUCUGAAAGGCAGGGUUUUUUACAAGAAGGUUGGUGUGUUGAAUUAAGAUGUUCUAUGAGCAGUUGUCAACUAUAUGCUGUUUGCUGUGCCCCAGAUGGAAAGACUUUUGAAUCAAUGUCUGAAGUUGCUUAUUAUCUGGGUUUGAUUUCUAACUACAAUUCUAUGGAUGCUGAAAUAAGAACUGAAGGAUCUGCUGUGCAGGAAAGGUUGGAUCUAUCCAAAAGAAGAAAGCUAAGAAGAGCUUUGGUUGUUAAUGGUAUUGAGCAAAAAAGGAUUUGAUAAGUAUUUAACGAGUUUUCAUCCAAUUGCGAACCUAUUAAGAUUUUCGCUUGUAGAUCUAAUACUAUUGAGGAUGGUACUGAAGCUGUGAGAGAGGAAAAUAGUUUCACUGGAUUUCAGCACAAUAAGGGUGAUGAUAAGUUUGAUACAACGAGCAAUGUACUUCUGAAGUGGCUGGACCAGGAUAGAUUUGUGUUAGACACUGAGUUUGUGCAUUAAAUUAUUGAACAGCUCCCUGGUGUUAUAGCCUGUUCACUUUACAGAUUUCUGAAGGAUAGAAGUUACUCAACCUCAUCCUUAGCUGUUGGAAAUGGACUACUGAUUGCAAAUAGGAAAUUUGGGAUAGAAGAAGAAGUAUCAGAUUGUUCAUUUGGAAUGCUCAACAAACCUCUGUUGGUUGAAGACCAUGAUCAUUGCCCUCUUGGAAAGGCAUUGUGCUUGAGGCUUCCUCACAUUAUUGGUGAUGUUUAUCAGGUAUGGGAGUUCUUUGGGCGUAUUCAUGAAAGUUUGGGUCUGAAGGGACCUUUUAUGUUGGAGGAACUUGAAGAGGAGCUUAUCAACCCAUGGUUUGAUGGCUCAAGUCCUCUGGCACUGAACCCUCAGGCUUGAAAGAAAGUGACUGUAUGGGUGGACAAAUGCUAUCCUCAAGGGAAAAACCACAGGCAUUUAUACAGAUGGAAACUGGAUCAAUGAAGGAAGCAGCCCAAGCUAGAAUAGCAUCUGUUAAUUACAGCAGAUGUUUUGGUGUGGUUUUGACCAAGGCUCAUAGCUUUUUGCUUGGGGCACUAAUUUGUGAGCUGCAAUUGUUGACUGAAACUUCUAUUCUGGAGAGUUGAAAUCGAAGCAGGGGAGGAAGAAAGAUGCAGAUUGCUCAAUUUCUCCCUAUCAAUGAAUUUACUUGGCCAGAAUUAGCUUGGAGAUACAUCUUGGCUUUCUUAUCCAUGGAUGUUGGCCUUGACUCUGUGGAUAUUACUGCUCGUGAAAGUUGUAAAGUGUUUCGCUGCUUACAAGGUGGAGGGGUGCUCUGUGGCUCACUUACUGGAGUUGUUGGGAUGGAAGCAGAUGCCCUGGUAAGAUUGGCUCUUGAUUCUUUUGUUGGUAUACGCAUGCUCUUAUUUAACAGAAAUUGUUAACACAUGAUCUAGAGAACAUUAUUUUAAUUUGCUUGAUUCCUGCCAUCUCCGAGGUUGUAGAUGUACUCCUAUGAUACAAUUUGGAAGUUGGAAUUGCUAGAAGGUAAGAAAUUACCUUUUAAGUUUUUGCUUAA